CCCGCGGGGGCGGGGCGGGAGGCGCCCCGGGCAGGGUCCGCGCCCACGGCACGGGCGGGACCGGCGGGGCCUUAAGGUCCCUCCAGCCCGGGCUGAAACGCAUCCCGGCCGUUCCAUCAUGAACUUGAGCAGGAUCAGGGACGUCGGAUCCCAAGUCAAAGUCAGAAGACCAGCAUAACACCCCUGAGGCGUUAUUGAUGACGCUCCAGGCAGGGAGGUUUUGCAGACUCACGGAUGUGCACUGCAGUUUGCCACACAGACUGUGCCUGGGAUGGACAAAUGGCACCCAGAGACAAGCACAGUCCUUGCGCGCACUGCGAUCCCGGCUUGAGUUUGCAGGUUGCAGCGUCACAACAAGGGUCGGUGCAUUCCUGAAGAACACAGUGGUUUUACCUCCCUACAGAGCUAGGAGAGGACAUUACCAAACCAAGGGCACGGACAAACCAGACUGCAAAUACACUGCCGCUCUCACGUGUUUUGUGGUUGACAGCCCUUGCUCUAACAGAAGCCAGCAGUGGCUGUAGUGCUUUACUGCAGGUCACCAGAAAAACAUCUGCAUUGAUGUGUUGUGGGCUAUAAGGCAGGUUUACACUUUAAAUGGACAACAAUGCAGCAGAAUACUUUGUUUUUUAAACACUUCUUAUCACCCCUUCCCCCAUCUUAUCGUUCCACUCCACCAGCAGUUUGAUAUGGAGAAUUGUUGGUAUCUUUUCAUGACUCGGAAGAAGGCCAAUACAGUCGAACCAGGGCUUGCUGGCAGCCUUUCGAUUUGUUGGUGGCUUUGUUUGAGGCACUUUUAUUUCCUAAAGAACGAGCCAAUACAUUCCAUUCUUUGAAGGACAUUUUGGUAACACAAAUCUGACUCACAAAAGUAAUUUAGCUGUGGGCAAAGCGCAGGAGUUAUGAUUAGGAAACCUGUGGGUUCUUUAUAGUGUCUUUUCUGUAACAGAAAUAUCCGUGGUGCUAAAACCAGCACAGAAAACAACUGCGUUUCCACACUCUCUGCACAGCAAUGCACUGCUUGUUUAAGUAUUGGCUCAGAGCCCUUUGAGUUCAGUAGCCCUUAACCAAGUUCAUAUGAAAAUCAAAGUAUGAUUUCAGUCUUUUUCUAAAAUUUAUAUUUAUAUUGCUUGCAAAAAUGUAAAUUUACAAGGACACCCCUCAGA